UCUAAGUGAAGCCAUUUCAUUCACACAAAAAACCCUCUUGGUUUCCUCUAGCCCGCACGAUUUCUCUCCCUUCUUCAAGCCGAUUUCUUCCCUUUCCCAAGCUUAAGAUCCAACCGAAGUUUCUUCAAGGAGAACGAUUUUGUGGCCAUGAAUCUUCAGAUUUCUUCUUCCUCUUCUCGUUCGAUACUUGUUUUCGUAUCUUGAAAGGGAAGCCAAGUCAGGUAUUGAUGGAGAGGCUGUGGAGCCAGGCACUAUCGAGGAGGGAGGGGUCAAUGCUUAGUGUUCCCCUACCGGUUCGACCUUUUGAUGAUAAUGGUUUAUGGUUUUUAUGUUUUAGGAUGGGUCCCGUGUUGGGAUGUUUUGUUGAAUUAACUUUAAGACAAUAUAUCUUUUGGGUAUAAUGUAAUUUCAAUGGUGUAACUUUAAGACAAUAUAUCUUUUGGGUAAUGGUGUAACUUCUAUGGGUAA